UACGUUGUCCGGAAUCAUUGGGCGUAAAGCGCGCGCAGGCGGUCCCUUAAGUCUUAUGUGAAAGCCCACGGCUCAACCGUGGAGGGUCAUUGGAAACUGGGGGACUUGAGUGCAGAAGAGGAAAGCGGAAUUCCAAGUGUAGCGGUGAAAUGCGUAGAGAUUUGGAGGAACACCAGUGGCGAAGGCGGCUUUCUGGUCUGUAACUGACGCUGAGGCGCGAAAGCGUGGGGAGCAAACAGGAUUAGAUACCCUGG
rnacentral:rRNA from 1 species